GGGUUGCUGGUUGUAAAACAAGGUUCGACCAAAACAAGCAGCACCCAUCGAAAAUAAGAGUUCUGUAGACAUAAAUUGGAACAAAAAAAAGGUUAUGCAAUUCCAACAAUUCAACCCUCAAGUGUAAAUUUCGAAUUUUCAAGCAUAAAAGAUGAAGAGGAUUUUGUAACUUGGUGGUAAUGGACAUGACGACAUAUGCAAUGGAAGAUAGUCAAGAACCAAGACUUGCAAGGUAACAAGCUAUGAUGUAAGCUAUCUAUUCCUUGGAUAUGGGACUUAGCUAUAUCAUUAUAUUAUAUAACUAGAAUUCUUUCAUACAUAUGUUUUUAUUUAAAAGAUUUGCGGUGAUUAGUUGGUCGAAGAAUAUGUGGUUGUCUACCUUGCACAUUUAUGGAUCGAGUUUUAAUUUUGGGUAUUAACCAGUUUCAGUUAUGUAUAAUAUUUGUCUUCAACAUUCCCGGAUCAUUUGUUUAGGUCAUACAAAAGGUUUCAAGUCAAAAGGGCUUAACUAAGAGGUCAAAGCAUGUUGGCAAAACUGAUUUAUACAUGAUGUCCUAACCAGGUCAACUGCUUGCAGAGUUUGUUUAGAGGCCUUAACCAUUUUAUUUUCGCAUGACCUUUUUAGAGAAGUUAGCUAACAUCAUAAAUGAUUCUAUGAAACUUUUGUAGAUUUUUCUGAAACUGUUUUGAUGUGGUUUUAUGAGUAGUUUGUCAAUAAAAUGGUUGUUGACAACCAUAUUUUUAAUAAUGUUAUAAUGGGUCAAAACACACAAAAAUGGAUCGAGUGUUGUGAUUAGUUAAUUGAAGAAGGUGGAUAAGCAAUAUUAUAAGUGUUAUUGUGUUACGUCGAAUACAGUGAUGUAUAAGUACACAAAAAAUGGAUCAUGAUAUGCGUUAACUAUCAUUAAAUAUUGUAGACUCUUAAGAUGUUAGUUGAUUUGUAUAAUUGAGUUUAGAACCUCCUGACCUUGUCACUGCUAUUUUAUGAAGUGUAUGGUGUAAUAUGUGAAUGCGGAGUAGGAGUAAAAUGACAUAACAAUGUGGAUGUUGGAUUUUGACCAGUUACGAUUUAAUAAAACAAAUUUGUGUGAAUCAAGGGAAUUGAAUUAUAUCCAUAAGCGUUGUUAGAACUUACUAACAUUCUUUGCGGUUGAAAGUGUCCAGUUUUAGAUGUGUUGACAUGUUGCACGAAGUUGAAGCGGAUCGAUUAAAUUAGAAAAGGGAAUUUUGACUUGAUGUUAGCAUGAUCUUCGCUGACCUGAAAGGAUGGUUUAUGCUGGCUAAGCUCUGUCGCAUGCUGGAGUCUAUGUUAAGUCAAUGUGGUCUACGCUAACCUCGGCGUUGCCUACACAAGGCUUGAAUGGUUUAGAGUUUUAACAAUCUCAAAUUUGGUUUAGUAGGAUUUGUUUAUAUGUGAUCUAUAUAUAUACUCUAAAUACUAAUUGGGAUGUUGUAAUACCUUAGGUGAACCUCACAAAUGGAGUUUGGAAGUUGAAAAUUAAGUGCUUGAGAUUGGACAUCAACACACAUCUUCAAGUAGAACGUCUAUUGUUUGUAAAUGAGUUUAAAGGUCUAGAUGACAAAGUGGCUUAUAAAGUAAGCGCUUAUGUUUUGCAGUAUUUUACAUUGACACUUAGUUAAUUGAACUAAGUUAUUGUUGUUCAAAACAAAAGAAAAUUUUUGGGACAUAAUUUCCGCACAUGAAAAAGUGAUACUGACUUGUUUUCAAUUUAUUUUUAGUCGUUUAAACUUCGGGUGUUUCAAGUUGGUAUCAAAGCCCUGGUUUAAGGGAUUCAAGUGUGGUUGAACAUGCUUGGACUUAAACCUUAUGCUCUCGAUAAUAGAUGUGUGUUGUCCAAGACUCGAUCAAGACAUGAAAGGGAAACGAGUCAAAUUGUGAUUCUUAAAAGGAGUUUGAUCAUACAGUUGAUGGUACAUACUUGCAUUUAACGAUUUAUUAUUGUGUAUAUUUAUGCUUCAUGUUAAUAAACUGGAAGUAUGGCUACAAGUUGUUGAUAAAAAAAAAAACCCUUCAAGUUGUGGAUUAAUUGUUAAGAUUCUCUAAUGAUGGAAGAUAAAACAGUAUAUGAACUUAAAUGUGUUUACCCUAGAAGUGAUAUGGUAAUAACAAGAAUACAUGUGUAUGGUAUGUGAACUAUUUCACUUGUCUGGUGCGAUAGUAAACAUACGGUACUAAGGUGUUCUUAUAAUGAUCAUAACCAUGUUCGAGGUGACAAAGAGUAAGUGAUUGUGGUAUGAUCAUUAACGCCAUGGUUUUAAAAAAACGUUUGAGGCGUGCGCCUCAAGGCGCGCCUCGAAGUGAAACGGGCCAAAAAACGUGUCUGAGGCUCGCCUCAUGGUGUUUUUAAUGUAUAUGCGCCUCAGAAAGGGACUGAGGCGCUAAGAAAGCUGUGCCUCAGAUGCGCCUCAGGGGAUUUUGGUGGUUGUUUUUGAUGUUUUUGACUUUUUGUGUCAGUUUCAAGCAUUUCAUGCCUUUUUAAGUGUGUUUUUGAUGAUUUUGAU
rnacentral:lncRNA from 1 species